AGAAGAGACAUAGACACACAGGGAGGAGACAGCCUUGUGAUGAUGAAGGCGAUGAUUGGAGUGAUGAAGCUACAAGCAGAGGUUCCUCCUGGAAAAGGAACGUAAAUCUUGUCAGUGCCUGAGGAUCGGAUACACACUGAAUUGUCUGACAACUUGGGGGUGGAAGGACACUCUAAGGAAGCCAACUACAGAGGAGCAGGACACAAAAAUUCAUUGUAAGAAAGAGGAACUAGUACUGACCUAUGGAAGUGUGACACAUACUGCUGGCUUUAUUCUUCCCUUCUUCCAUAGUAACGGAAAUGUAGCAAGGCACAGGGCUGACCGGCUAUGCGACCUUUCACCACCUUCUGUGCAGAAGAUGUGACUAAGUUCUCUCCAGUGAAGUAUGAUGGCAGUGAUGUGUCCCCUUCCCAGCCUGGUGUCUUGAGACCAGAUCAGAAGUGGUCAUACGGUUUUCCUUUCCCACUGGCUGCAACCCAGAUGGGAUGCCCUCUCAAAAUUGGACAAAGAAACAAGAUGGAGAGGACCCAGGUCCCUGGUUAAUUAUGGGGAGGCGAGCUGCCUGCUGAGCCAAUCUGUUGAGCUAUUGCAUUUUUGGGGUCCCUGAAGUUUAACCUUAUCCAAGGCUGGUAUAUUUCACAGAACUGCUAGAAGACAAAGAAAAUAGAGGAUGUGAUAACCCCAUGUAAACUAAAGUGUUUUACAAAUAGAUUAUGGUUGCCACAUAAUUGAAUGAGCCGUCAAUGAAAGCAACAAUUCCGAAAAACUAAAAAUAUUCUCCUGCCAAACUGAAUUACCCAGCCUAAUCUUACUACACUUAGCAAAUUAAACAAGGGUAAGAGACACGUUGCUGUCCAGGUGUUUGAUCUCAAUCCUCUCUUCUUGUCCACACCCCUCCUCUCUUUGGGGAGUCUUAAGAGGUGGUGGUCACAAGCCCUAGGGGCCACAUCCCAUCGCCCUGCUUCUGCACGGUCUCCAGCCUAAUAGGAGGAUGGCUGAAGGUCAUGUCCAUCACGCUGCAGGGUAUUCAGCAGCUGACCGGACUGUGCCUGCGGCCUGCCCUUUGCCUCCAAGAACCUUGGUUGAUGCCCCAGGCAAUUGUCAGCUCUCCACAUCUGAGCUUACUCACAGAGCAAACUUAAGCAAUUAAACAAUAUCUGUCUCGAGAA
rnacentral:lncRNA from 1 species